rnacentral:lncRNA from 1 species
ACGCGCACGCGUCACUCCCCUCUAACGCGGACACUCCGCGGCGCGCGCACGCGCGGAUGCGUCGGCCUCGAAUCGCCCGCGCCCGACGACGCCGACGCGGCUCCCCGCCCCCCUUCGCGUCAGCCCGCCCGCCCUCCCGCCGGCCCACCGCCCCCGCUCCCCGAGGGCCUUCUUCCUGGGCUCGGGCCCGACCUGCUGCUCGCGCCUGCGCGCAGGCCAGGAUCCUCCUCCGCGCGCGCCCUCCCCUCCCACACGCCCUCGCUCGAACACACAGACUUCGCCUCUGUGACCCCGCCCCUUGCCGGCCAGCUGCGCCGGCGGCCCUCCCCCACCUCUCCCGGGAGGGUGGUGACCCCCCCCGACCCCCCACAAAGCACAACCAACCCCCCCCCCCCAAGCAGUAGGGAGAAGCGCCCCAUUCCCUUUCAACCGCCCUCUGCCCCAGUCGGCCCGUCACAGUCACACAACCUGAAGGCCAGGCGGCCUGGGCCAGAGCAGCCGUUGCCCGCCUCAAAGCGGGGGUCUCCCGGGGUCAGGCUGCUGGGCCCGGCCGGUCCGACCUCGGCGCCGUGUUCGGGCCUGUCCAGGGCGAGGGGCCGCAGAGAAGGGGCGCCUUUGCGCUGGCUGCCCUCCCCUCGCCCGCCGGCCAGUGGGCCGAGGACGGCCUGCCCGCCAUCCCCGGACAGGCCCCAGCGGCCCCCGCCGCGGGGCCCGUUCGCCCCCGGCUCGGGGUCUCCUCGGUGCAGCGGCUCGGCCCCGCCUCACCCACUCCUCGCCGCUCCGAAGGGGCAGGAAACGGGAGUAGCAUGUCUGUCCUGGGCUCGGCUCCCCCGGGGGAGCUCCAGGCGCUUGACAAGGGCGUCCACAGGUACCAGGCGCGGGAGUGGUCUCCGCGACGGCCCGGGGGCGGCGGCGGCCGGCGCGCCCACUGCGGGCCCGAGGCGCCCGGGGAGGUGGCCCUGGAAGCCCCCGCUCCUCGGCCACGCUCAGGUUUCCGCAGCGCCGGUGCCCCCCGGCGCCCCGGGUGGGACGUGA